CAGAAGCUGGAUCCUUGACAGAAUUAUUGAUGGGAUAGUCCAUCAUCUGGGGCUAAGACCACCUCCAGAUUUCUUGUUUGGUGAAAAUUCCUGAUUGUUUACAUUUGUUUAUUUUGAGCAGUCUCUUACUUGUAGCUAAAAGCAUUUCUAAUAGAUAUUCAAAUUAUCUGCACAGCAAGGGGCAGCCAGAGCUCCAGGGGUUCCAACCUAAAAUAAUCUAUGGAACCGCAGAUAAGUGUCUUAGCUUCUUCAUGAAUUCCUUUGCUCAUCUGUGUAAUGCUCAAUAAAUGUAAAUUGAACCCUGAAUGAGGGACAGUGGCACUAUUGAAGUCAUGAUUGUCAAUCUUAUUAACUGACUAAAUAUUUACAAAAAGGUUGGAACAUUGCCGGACUCACAGUAAGCGGAUGUGGAAGGUGUUGGCAAAUGGACUGAGAAGAAAAGCAGCCAUGUUUGUAGGCUUUCUUUU
rnacentral:lncRNA from 1 species